rnacentral:rRNA from 1 species
AUGAGUUGCCUCAGCUGGAACUGGCGGGGGCUUGGGAACCCCGAGGCAGUUCAAGAGCUUCGCAGCAUUGUGAAGCAGGAAGGGCCCGGUCUCUUAUUUCUCAUGGAGACCAAAAUUUCAGCCAAGCGAGUGGAGAAUCUACAGAACUCUCUUGGUUUUGCGGGAUGUUUUGCGGUGAGCAGCGUUGGACUCAGUGGGGGACUAAGUUUGUUCUGGUCUGCUGAGCUAGAUGUUGAGCUCAAAAAUUAUAGUUCUGCCCAUAUCGAUGUUAUGGUGCAGAGGAAAAAUGAUACGUCCAAAAAAUGGCGUGUCACAGGAUUCUAUGGAGCUCCGCGCGUGGAAGAUAGAUACCACAGUUGGAGAUUCAUGAGAACUUUGUUUUCUAUCCGGCAUGAAGCAUGGAUGUGCAUUGGGGAUUUUAACGAAACGUUAUUCGGCUCCGAACACUUUUCUCUCUCACCAAGACCCGAGUGGCAGAUGAAAGCGUUCCGGAAAGUAAUGGAUGAGUGUGCAAUGGUUGACUUGGGCUGGUCAGGCAUGGAAUAUACAUGGGAUAAUAGGCAGUCGGGUAGAUCAAAUGUUAAAGCCCGGCUGGACAAAGCCUUUGGCAACACAGCACUUACUGAUUUAUUUGCAAAUGUCAAAGUUCGGCACAUUGUUGUUGCGGAGUCAGAUCACUGUUUUGUCUUAGCAGAUCUAAGGGAAAACUAA